rnacentral:rRNA from 1 species
CCCUUAGAUGUUCUGGGCUGCACGCGCGCUACACUGAUGCGCUCAACGAGUUUUAACCUUGCCUGGAAAGGUUGGGUAAUCUUUUUAAAACGCAUCGUGAUGGGGAUAGAUUAUUGUAAUUAUUAAUCUUCAACGAGGAAUUCCUAGUAGGUGCAAAUCAUCAGUUUGCAUCGAUUACGUCCCUGCCCUUUGUACACACCGCCCGUCGCUGCUACCGAUUGGUUGAUCUGGUGAAUUAUUCGGACUGCCGGCUGAAGGGGUUUCCUCAUCUGCCAGCGGAAAGUCUUGUUAACCCUAUCAACUAGAGGAAGCAGAAGUCGUAACA